GAUGAACGCUGGCGGCGUGCUUAACACAUGCAAGUCGAACGAUGAAGCCCAGCUUGCUGGGUGGACUAGUGGCGAACGGGUGAGUAACACGUGAGUAACCUGCCCUUGACUCUGGGAUAAGCCUGGGAAACUGGGUCUAAUACUGGAUAUGACUUCUCAUCGGAGUGUGGGUGGGGGAAAGUUUUAUUGGUCUUGUAUGGACUCGCGGCUUAUCAUCUUGUUUGUGAGGUAAUGGCUCACCAAGGCGACCACGGGUAGCCGGCCUGAGGGGGUGACGGGCAACACUGGGACUGAGAAACGGCCAGGACCCCAACGGGAGGAAGAGGUGGGGAUAAUUGCACAUGGGGGGCAAGCCUAUUGCAGCACGGCGGGGUGAGGGUUAACGGCCUUCGGGUUGUAACCCUUUUUCAGUAGGGAAGAAGCGAGAGUGACGGUACCUGGAUAAGAAGCGCCGGCUAACUACGUG
rnacentral:rRNA from 1 species